ACAGGUCAAACCACCAAACCUGAAACCCAGAGAGCACUUACCAAGAAAGGAAGUGCUGAUGGGGCACUCAACAGAGCUCUAAUCUAGUGUCAAACUAGAAGACUUCCUAGAGAAGAAAGAACUGAAGCCAUGAGCAAUCUGCUGAGUCACUUGGUAAAUAUUUGCUGAGCACCAUUGUAUGUCAUACUGAGCUAGGCACUGGGGACAUGGAGGAACCAUGCCACCUUCUUUACGAUCUAACUCUGGGGUCCCACCUUUCUUAGAGGAAGAGCUCUGCUUCUUUCCUAAAAGCUCAUGAACCACAGAGAAGGUGCAGCUGGAAGAGAAAUGGUAUGCAGUCCAUUGUGAAGUGACUUCCAGCCCCCUCCACUGCUGCCCCAGAGACCCAUCGUGCUAACCUCACUACAACCAUGACCUUGACCAUGACCAUAUCAACCCAGGGGAAGGGCCAGCUGGCAGCUCCAUUCUCAUCCCCUCAUCACCCGAGAAAGGGGGGCCUGGGGGAGGGGCUGCAGACACCCCUGUAUCUUCAGGUCCAUGCCCAGCGGGGCCUGGGGACCUCUGGAUUAGGGGAGCGCUGGCUUAACCCAGCAGCUUCUAAGUGCCAGAGUUGAGAGAAAAGAGGAAGUCCUUUGGGGUGUGUGGACCAUUACAGAACAGCUCUGCCUAGAACUAGAGACCUGUGGGGAGUCCUGUGCCACAUCCUCAAGGGAGGAAGAAACACAGAGCUUUCUAUUUUUCUGGGAGCCUUAGUACUUUUCCUUUCUCCCGUCUAAUUUCGGCUUUCCUGGGCAUCUUUCUGCACCUCUCCCACGUGGCCACUGAGUGGCACUGUUGCAUGAUCCCGGAAUUUCCGGAGACCAGAAGGCAAGCCAAGCCGGGGCUGGGAGUUUGCAGGGGCGGGGGGAAAACACCGUUUCCAACUCCCUGUCCCUCUGUCUAGUCAUCCCUUGCCUCCCUAGGCCUUUGUCCACUUCCCUUCAUUUUUCCGGGUGCAUCCUGGCUCUGCAACACCAGGAAAGUUGCCAAGAUGUCUCCAUCUCCUCCGUUCUCUGUUUUCCCUUGUCCCUAAAUUCAAAGCCAGGGCAGAGAGGCUGAGUCAUCCAGAACCUCAGAUCUGAGCUCCCUGGACAAGGCCCUGCUGCCUCUCCAGACCAGAGCUCAUUCCAUUUAACAAACACAUAUUUGCCACCUGAUACUCUCCUCUCCAAUCUUUCACUCCCCUGACUCUACCUCCUUAGCUUUAGGGGGAAGGCCACACCUGACUGUGUGGCAGUCAGGCCCCUGCUUUGUUCUUUAUGAUUUCCUUGGGUCUCUUGGUCUGUCAAAUGUCCCAUAGGGCCUUUCGUUAUCCCCCAUUUCUCUCGCUGCAGGGUCGGCCCAUUUUCUCUCCGUAGGGCUUCAGAGCUGAAGAAUCCCUGAGUUCCCCUUGUAAUGACCCUUCUUGGAUUCAGAGAACAUCAUUAAGAUGCGCUGAGCGUCAGGCUUGCAGUACAGGAGCCAAGGCCCAGACCUCCACAGAGGAGUUCCUUGGAGGCAGCAGGAGUUAAUCUCGGAAGGCUUCCUGCAGGAGGCAGCCCUCAGGUUGGGCAAACUCGACAGCACGCCCUACAGGUCUGGAAGGUCCGCUGGACUGAAGCCAUGAUCCUAAGACCAGGAAGCGAGCCCAGAGGGCUGGCACCCGGCUACCGGUCGAAGUGGGCAGCAGAAUGGAACAGUGAUUUGUAGAGUCAGACUUCUUGAGUUCCAUCCCAGCCUCACCACUUACCAGCUAAAUUACCCUGGACAGCGACUUGUCCUCUGUGAGUAUCUUCAUCUAUAAAAUAGAGAUCAUGGCAUCUUUCCCCCGAGGUGGUGCCAGGGAUUCCAUCAAACGACCUAUGGACAGCUGUCAGCCGGUGCUUGGACCCACAUUCCAUGCCUCCCUGACCUGCUUCCUGUGGAUCAGGGGGGGCAGUGCUGCCACAGUGGGCCCAGCGGGUUGGUGGGGGACCAAGCAUCUGCGGAGGUGACAGUCACGAAAGGAAGGAGAGCCACUGCUCUGGGAGUGACACCUGCUGGAGUCCUCUGUGCUCAUGAAUUGUGGUGGCAAAAAUAAAGAGACCCUCCCUCUUGUA